AUUAGUGAGUAAUUUUCUCGUUUCCUUGUUAUUGUUGUUUGAUUAAUAGCCUUAAUAUGACAUAGCCUACUAGACAGUGCUCAAUUCGGAUACAUGUACACUUCAAGUCUGACAUUUUGAUACAAAUACGCUUUUUGUCCCACUGUUUACGUCCACUUUAGACCAAACCGACUGUGUUUACAUUAAUGCCUCAUCAAGACGGGCAUUGGCGGAAUUAUAAAGUGUAUUUGAUCGCUCUAGGAAUACACGCGCAUGUAAAGCGUACAAACAUUAACCGCCUGUCAAUCAAACAGCACGCAGCUACAGACGUCAGGAAAUAAAAAGUCAAUCUUUUAUAAUUUAUUAAGAUCAACCAACCAGUGGUUGUCUUGCUAUCGUGAUCGAUGUAAUGAACACCCCUGGUCUAGAUGUAGAACAUAGGCUAAGUAUAGAAAAUUAUUCAAAAGUUUAUCAUCCAUAUCUCUCUUUUUUUUUCAGAUAAACAUCAAGAUUGUUUUAUCGCCCAGCCCUAUUGAUAACACUAUUGAUAACAUUGCCUUAAUCUCUCACAUUAACCCAAUAAACUCAGUGAUAGAUAGUUAAAUUAUAGGCUACGUUACAGACAAACAGAAUCUAGUAAGCAAAAAUAUGAAAUUUACUUAGAUAUGUUUCUUCAAAUUAGAGGCAGGAUUAAUGGCUUGAGCAAGUUAAACUUACAUGACCCAAUCAAGCAAUUGGCCUUUUUCACUGCGAAAAGCCCUUCCAGGUGUGGCCGAGAUGUUCAGGUGUUGAAAUGUGUUUGAGGCAUCCUCCACAUCUAUAACAGUUGGCCGCUGAUCAAGUUUUUUACAUGUGAUUUGAUUUGACGGGAGUCAUAAGACACUCCCUAGCCAGUCAUGUUGAUAGAUAAAAAUAAAUUCAGGACAGGGAAGUAGAGAACACAGAUGGUGGGAAAACAGUGCAAGCACUUAAAAUGUACUCAAGUAGAAGUAAAAGUAUAACAUUUUUAAACUACUUAAAAAAGUACAAUUCCUGGGAAAAACUACUUAAUUACAGUAAUGUGAGUAUUUGUAAUUUGUUACUUUACACCCCUGCACAUGACAAAGACAACCAAUGGCAAGACUUAACUAAUAACAAGGUAACAAGACUACUAAAACAUGAACCAAUGAAAAUACAAGACUGAUAACAAGUUAACAAGACAAUACACCAAUGAGAACAAGACACAUGAACAUGAGGAAAACAGGAUAUCACAUGACAUUGGUUGUCUGACACAUGACCAGAAUAAGGAACAGGAAGUUAACUAAUUUCAAAAUAAAGACAUGAAAACAAAACAUCAACAAAAACACAUUUAUACGUGACAAUGUGACAUGCAACAAAAGACCUCUCUGAUAAUCAUCACAGCAAUGGCUGCAACACGUCUUAUCCUGUUCCUGUUGCUGACGGCAUGCUGCAUGAGUGUUUGUAGCUUGCUAGCCUGCUUAGCAUUGCUUAUUCUUAUUCUUAUACGUUCAUCGUUUUAUCCUUUGCCAUUUAACCGCUUGGUUCGGGUUUUUCUGCUUUUCUACUGCUUUUCAUCUGGGUAUAUUUUAUGUGCUCGUUUUUUACUUUAGUUUUUUUUUUCUGCUUGUCUACAUCUCGCAUCUCAACUGCGUGCAUUCGUUUUCUCCACUGUGUUUUACACAGAUUAUUGCAUCAAUCACAAACAUCUGCUGACUAGGAACCACAUCGAUCUCAAACCCUCACCGCUCAAGAACAACCACAAAAACAACAACAACAACAAACAAUUGUGUUACCAGAUCCAGCCAGAUCCAGCUCCGUUCCUGCUUGGUGUCAGACUCCACUGCUAUGUGUCACUGAAAGAUGAUGACAAACUACAGCCGGUGUCAGCCAGACAUCACUUCAGUCUUUUGACUUCAGAGGAUGAAAUGAUGCCAACUCCAACUGUGAGACAUGGAAUACUUCAUAUGCCACUGCCUGAACCUUGGUCUUAGGAUGGACCCCACUGAACCUCACCGAAAUGACCUGCAGGUUGAACUGCGAUACACCUCACUGAUCUCUGCCUGCAUCACCUUUGUCUGUUGAUGGAAUACACUCUUGAAAUGGAAUACAAAGACUAUAAUUUAAUUGCCAACAAAAGCCUUCAUCAGCCAACUAACAAAGGACAGUGCAUCAAUGUGAACUUCUGCCAUUAAUCCAGGAUGGACUUCAAAGACAUUAGUCAUUAAUCUUAAAGUAAAAAAAAAAAAAUAUAUAUAUAUAUAUAUUUAUAUUAUUAUUAUUAUUAUUAUUAUUUAAACAAUGGACCUUAACGCUUAAUUUACAAAUUUAAAACCAUGACUUGCACUGCACAUAAAUAACUAAUAUUGGCAUUAUAUUCAUGUUGUUUAGCCAGAGGGGAACUGGCCCCCACAGUGAGCCUGGUUUCUCCCAAGGUUAUUUUUCUCCAUUAACCAACAUUUUAUGGCGUUUUUUGUUCCUUGCCCACAGUCGCCUUCAGCUUGCUCAUAGGGGUUCUAAAUAUAAUUAUUAUUUAAUUAUUUAAUUUCUGUACACAAUUUACAAUCAUAUUUAAUCAAACUACACAAUAAUCACUCUAAGACUUUAUCGAUAUUACAGUUUAUUUUUUGUUAAUGCAUGAUUUCCUGUAAAGCUGCUUUGAAACGAUGUGUGUUGUGAAAAGCACUAUACAAAUAAAAAUUACUUGACUUGA